UUCUGAGUUGGCAUGACGAUCUGACACCCUGCCGUCCAGAGCCUUCUGUCCGUUUCCACGGUGACCUGAUCCCAUUCCGCUAUUCUGUUCUCCGAGUUCCGGACCUGUGGAGCACAGAGUGGAUAACCGCUGUAUACACACGGAGUGAGUUCAGAGAGAGGAGAGAUCUGGGAACGCAGUGAGGAUGCCAGUGCAGCAGAUCUCCGUGGUCCCCGCUCGGGAGAUGGCCAAUAACGGCCGGAGCGCCCCUCGCUCCAAAGACAAGACCGAGAGUAUUAAAGGUCCAGGUCGGUCAGGCAGUCGAUCCAGCAACAUCUUGAAGGCCAGCAGUUCUACAACAGGAUUGGCUCCUGGCAGUGUUUCCAGGACAACUCCCUCCUCUCAGGACAUCUGCAGGUGAGACUGUUACCCAGCGGUGCCUUCAGUUGGCUUGAACGUUUGCUAAAAGUUGCGGAACGGUUUGUACUGAAGGACACGUUUCCCCAAAACGUUUUAGAGCUCAUAAAGAACCAGACAUACACAACAUAUCUUCUGUGUCUUUACUAAGGAGCGUAGUUACAGUCACAUGUUAAGGUUAGAUUUUGGCUGUAUGGAGCAAAUAUUUCAAGAGUCUGAAUAAGUUUACAGUUUAGAUUAAGAGUCUGAAUAAGUUUACAGUUUAGAUUAAGAGUCUGAAUAAGUUUACAGUUUAGAUUAGGAGUCUGAAUAAGUUUACAGUUUAGAUUAAGAGUCUGAAUAAGUUUACAGUUUAGAUUAAGAGU